UGAGGUUUCGACACAUAGGCCAGAUAACAAAGCUUCCGUAUGGCCAUGUUGGGCAGAAAACCCUUAGGUGCUUUAGUGUAAAUAUAACUGUUAUAUUCCAAGAGUUGAAAGGAGAGUUCUCCUGACUGAGGCUGGGAGGCCAGCAAACUGGUUCCUAGCCUUCAGGAGUUCCGGGUCCGGGGACCGGGACUUUCUUCAGGAUUCAGGACACAGCGGGAGAGCGCCAUGGCGGCGACUCAACACGCGUUUCUUUGUCACCAGGGAGGUUGGGGAGGUAACCCCCCCCCUCCCAGCCCCGAUCUUAAGCUCACAAAGGCCUUGUUAGCUAGCUUUGCGUCAAAUUUCCGUACCCUGAGGAAUCAGGCGUGGGAGACUUUCACAGAGGCUGACAAGCCUCGGCACCAAAUCGCAGCCCUCCACUCCGUGGGAUCCAUCCCGCCCAACAGCAUCAGAACGAGACAAGUUGGCUACCCAGGGAGCUUGAGAAGGGGAGGGAGCGGCGACAUCACCACAUCCGGAAACGCCCUUUAAGGACCUCCCAUGCUCUCUUGUGCCACCUUCGGUGAACUUCAUAUUCCCAGAACCACAACAAGUGGUAGCGGACACCUCCUUCCCUCCCCGUGGUGUUCAGAGAGUGUCGUGUCCCCCAGUGUGUCAGGAAAGACUGUCGGCCACUCACUAACCCUAACCGUCCCACAUCCCAGGCCCAGGAUGGACUUCCCAGUGCUGUUUCCCAAGUGCUGUGUGACAUACAGGGAACUGUGCAUGAGAGGACGACACACAAAGACAGGCGGUUCCCUCUGGCUGCUGUGAGGCAAAAGUCUUCUUCAAAGAGACCCACCUUUGAGCGGAGGCCCGCAUGUGCCACUCGAGGUCUGGAGCAUCCUG